rnacentral:rRNA from 1 species
GUUUAGAACGCUCGUAGUCGGAUUUCGGGGCGGUCCGACCGGUCUGCCGAUGGGUACGCACUGGUCGGAGCGUCCUUUUUGCCGGAGACCGUGCCUACUCUUAACUGAGCGGGGGCGGGAGACGGCACUUUUACUUUGAAAAAAUCAGAGUGUUUCAAGCAGGCAGCUCGCUCUUGCAUGGAUUAGCAUGGGAUAAUGAAAUAGGACUUUGGUGCUAUUUUGUUGGUUUCGAACACCGAAGUAAUGAUGAGAAGGGACAGUCAGGGGCACUCGUAUUCCGCCGAGAGAGGUGAAAUUCUCAGACCAGCGGAAGACGAACCACUGCGAAAGCAUUUGCCAGGGAUGUUUUCACUGAUCAAGAACGAAAGUUAGGGGAUCGAAGACGAUCAGAUACCGUCGUAGUCUUAACCAUAAACCAUGCCGACUAGGGAUUGGAGGAUGUUCACUGAUUGACUCCUUCAGCACCUUACGGGAAACUAAAGUCUUUGGGUUCCGGGGGGAGUAUGGUCGCAAGGCUGAAACUUAAAGGAAUUGACGGAAGGGCACCACCAGGUGUGGAGCCUGCGGCUUAAUUUGACUCAACACGGGGAAACUUACCAGGUCCAGACAUUGUGAGGAUUGACAGAUUGAGAGCUCUUUCUUGAUUUAAUGGGUGGUAGUGCAUGGCCGUUCUUAGUUGGUGGAGUGAUUUGUCUGGUUAAUUCCG